CACGUAGGGUGCGAGCGUUGUCCGGAAUUAUUGGGCGUAAAGGGUGCGUAGGCGGUUCUUUUAAGUCUGGGGUGAAAGCCCGUUGCUCAACAACGGAACUGCCCUGGAAACUGGAGGACUUGAGUACAGACGAGGGUGGCGGAAUGGAUGCUGUAGCGGUGAAAUGCAUACGAUAGCAUCCAGAACCCCGAUUGCGAAGCAGCUGCCUAGACUGUAAACUGACGCUGAGGCACGAAAGCGUGGGGAGCGAACAGG
rnacentral:rRNA from 1 species